GGGUUGUGAGGUUAAGCGACUAAGCGUACACGGUGGAUGCCCUGGCAGUCAGAGGCGAUGAAGGACGUGCUAAUCUGCGAAAAGCGCCGGCGAGGUGAUAUGAACCUUUGACCCGGCGAUGUCCGAAUGGGGAAACCCAGUGCAAUCCGUUGCACUAUCGUUAACUGAAUACAUAGGUUAACGAGGCGAACCGGGGGAACUGAAACAUCUAAGUACCCCGAGGAAAAGAAAUCAACCGAGAUUCCCCCAGUAGCGGCGAGCGAACGGGGAGCAGCCCGGAGUCUGAAUCAGCUUGUGUGUUAGUGGAACGGUCUGGAAAGUCCGGCGAUACAGGGUGAUAGCCCCGUACACGAAAGCACACAUGCUGUGAACUCGAAGAGUAGGGCGGGACACGUGGUAUCCUGUCUGAAUAUGGGGGGACCAUCCUCCAAGGCUAAAUACUCCUGACUGACCGAUAGUGAACCAGUACCGUGAGGGAAAGGCGAAAAGAACCCCGGCGAGGGGAGUGAAAAAGAACCUGAAACCGUGUACGUACAAGCAGUGGGAGCCUCUUUAUGGGGUGACUGCGUACCUUUUGUAUAAUGGGUCAGCGACUUAUAUUCUGUAGCAAGGUUAACCGUAUAGGGGAGCCGAAGGGAAACCGAGUCUUAACUGGGCGUUAAGUUGCAGGGUAUAGACCCGAAACCCGGUGAUCUAGCCAUGGGCAGGUUGAAGGUUGGGUAACACUAACUGGAGGACCGAACCGACUAAUGUUGAAAAAUUAGCGGAUGACCUGUGGCUGGGGGUGAAAGGCCAAUCAAACCGGGAGAUAGCUGGUUCUCCCCGAAAGCUAUUUAGGUAGCGCCUCGUGAACUCAUCUUCGGGGGUAGAGCACUGUUUCGGCUAGGGGGCCAUCCCGGCUUACCAACCCGAUGCAAACUACGAAUACCGAAGAAUGUUAUCACGGGAGACACACGGCGGGUGCUAACGUCCGUCGUGAAGAGGGAAACAACCCAGACCGCCAGCUAAGGUCCCAAAGUCAUGGUUAAGUGGGAAACGAUGUGGGAAGGCACAGACAGCCAGGAUGUUGGCUUAGAAGCAGCCAUCAUUUAAAGAAAGCGUAAUAGCUCACUGGUCGAGUCGGCCUGCGCGGAAGAUGUAACGGGGCUAAACCAUGCACCGAAGCUGCGGCAGCGACACUAUGUGUUGUUGGGUAGGGGAGCGUUCUGUAAGCCGUUGAAGGUGUGCUGUGAGGCAUGCUGGAGGUAUCAGAAGUGCGAAUGCUGACAUAAGUAACGAUAAAGCGGGUGAAAAGCCCGCUCGCCGGAAGACCAAGGGUUCCUGUCCAACGUUAAUCGGGGCAGGGUGAGUCGACCCCUAAGGCGAGGCCGAAAGGCGUAGUCGAUGGGAAACAGGUUAAUAUUCCUGUACUUGGUGUUACUGCGAAGGGGGGACGGAGAAGGCUAUGUCAGCCGGGCGACGGUUGUCCCGGUUUAAGCAUGUAGGCGGAGGUUCCAGGUAAAUCCGGUACCUUGUUAACGCUGAGGUGUGAUGACGAGGCACUACGGUGCUGAAGUGAUAAAUGCCCUGCUUCCAGGAAAAGCCUCUAAGCAUCAGGUAACACGAAAUCGUACCCCAAACCGACACAGGUGGUCAGGUAGAGAAUACCAAGGCGCUUGAGAGAACUCGGGUGAAGGAACUAGGCAAAAUGGUGCCGUAACUUCGGGAGAAGGCACGCUGAUAUGUAGGUGAAGCCCCUGCGGGCGGAGCUGAAAUCAGUCGAAGAUACCAGCUGGCUGCAACUGUUUAUUAAAAACACAGCACUGUGCAAACACGAAAGUGGACGUAUACGGUGUGACGCCUGCCCGGUGCCGGAAGGUUAAUUGAUGGGGUUAGCGGCAACGCGAAGCUCUUGAUCGAAGCCCCGGUAAACGGCGGCCGUAACUAUAACGGUCCUAAGGUAGCGAAAUUCCUUGUCGGGUAAGUUCCGACCUGCACGAAUGGCGUAAUGAUGGCCAGGCUGUCUCCACCCGAGACUCAGUGAAAUUGAACUCGCUGUGAAGAUGCAGUGUACCCGCGGCAAGACGGAAAGACCCCGUGAACCUUUACUAUAGCUUGACACUGAACACUGGUCCUUGAUGUGUAGGAUAGGUGGGAGGCUUUGAAGCGUGGACGCCAGUCUGCGUGGAGCCAACCUUGAAAUACCACCCUUUAAUGGCUGGUGUUCUAACGUAGACCCGUAAUCCGGGUUGCGGACAGUGUCUGGUGGGUAGUUUGACUGGGGCGGUCUCCUCCCAAAGAGUAACGGAGGAGCACGAAGGUUGGCUAAUCCUGGUCGGACAUCAGGAGGUUAGUGCAAUGGCAUAAGCCAGCUUGACUGCGAGCGUGACGGCGCGAGCAGGUGCGAAAGCAGGUCAUAGUGAUCCGGUGGUUCUGAAUGGAAGGGCCAUCGCUCAACGGAUAAAAGGUACUCCGGGGAUAACAGGCUGAUACCGCCCAAGAGUUCAUAUCGACGGCGGUGUUUGGCACCUCGAUGUCGGCUCAUCACAUCCUGGGGCUGAAGUAGGUCCCAAGGGUAUGGCUGUUCGCCAUUUAAAGUGGUACGCGAGCUGGGUUUAGAACGUCGUGAGACAGUUCGGUCCCUAUCUGCCGUGGGCGCUGGAGAAUUGAGGGGGGCUGCUCCUAGUACGAGAGGACCGGAGUGGACGCAUCACUGGUGUUCGGGUUGUCAUGCCAAUGGCACUGCCCGGUAGCUAAAUGCGGAAAAGAUAAGUGCUGAAAGCAUCUAAGCACGAAACUUGCCCCGAGAUGAGUUCUCCCUGAGACUUUAAGUCUCCUGAAGGAACGUUGAAGACGACGACGUUGAUAGGUCGGGUGUGUAAGCGCAGCGAUGCGUUGAGCUAACCGAUACUAAUGAACCGUGAGGCUUAACCUUACAACGCCGAAGCUGUU
rnacentral:rRNA from 1 species